CUCAUAUCACCUCCUGGCCAUCUUCCAAGGUACUCUAUGCCCAAGCGCUGCUUUUGCUUGCCUCCCUUGGCUGGCCUAACUCACUUCCUCCCUUUGGAAGGUGGCGCACGCCACUGCUGAAGGGCAGGGGUCUCAUGGGGUGAUGGUUCAGGAAGAAGGCUCUGCAAGGGCUUCACAAACUGAAUGUGGACUCUGCCUGUUUCUUGGGCCUCUGUCCUGCAGCUGUGGAUCUGUGAUCAGAGAACUCUGAAUCUGACUUCAAGGUACCCCGCCCCCUCUCAAGUGAAUGUCCAGACCAAUGGUGACACCACCCAAAAUGAAUUUGGAGGCCUCUUUGCAGACUUCAGGAGUUCUGUACCCAGCUGUCUGCUGGGCCUGGGCGCUUUGGUGAUUCCGGUACAGGCUGAAAACUUCUGGAAGCCUAACUUAGUUGUCUGUAAACUGCAGUGGGCACAGACAGCUACAGGUCCCUUGCUGCUCUUGGCCUACCUGACCAGGACAGGUGUCAUCGGACUUUAUCCUCAUCCUAUGAUAGAGUGGAAGUCACUUGCCUGGAGCCCUCGCAAGCAGCUCUGACAUCAGAAUGCCUUCCCUAACUCACUUUGUCCCGACCACCAAACCCUGUCUCUUCUCCUUGGAGAAGCCCACCGCCGCCUGCGCGAAGCACACUCGAGGCAGGUGUUGACACGUAAGCCUCCCCGAGCCUGGCAAUGCAACCCUCCAAAUGGGCUCUCACCCUUAGGCGCGCCUGUC